GACGAACGCUGGCGGCGUGCCUAAUACAUGCAAGUCGAACGCAGUGGGGACGGGUUAGUAACACGUGGGUAACCGCCCAUCAGAGGGGAGAACACGUGGAAACAGGUGCUAAAGUGAUACUGAUGGAUGGACCCGGGGUGCAUUAGCUAGUUGGUGAGGUAACGGCUCACCAAGGCCACGAUCCCUAGCCGGCCUGAGAGGAUGACCGGCCACACUGGAACUGAGACACGGCCCAGACUCCUACGGGAGGCAGCAGUAGGGAAUAGUCGACAAUGGACGAAAGUCUGACCGAGCAACGCCGCGUGAGUGAAGAAGGUUUUCGGGUCGUAAAGCUCUGUUGUCAGAGAAGCGGUAUCCACACAGGAAGCCACGGCUAACUACGUGCCAGCAGCCGCGGUAAUAC
rnacentral:rRNA from 1 species